rnacentral:rRNA from 1 species
UACGUAGGGUGCAAGCGUUGUCCGGAAUUAUUGGGCGUAAAGAGCUCGUAGGCGGUUUGUCGCGUCUGCUGUGAAAGCCCUAGGCUCAACCUAGGAAUAGCAUACGUGACUGACAGACUAGAAUAUGGCAGAGGGAGGUGGAAUUCCAUGUGUAGCAGUGAAAUGCGUAGAGAUGUGGAGGAACACCGAUGGCGAAGGCAGCCUCCUGGGCCAAUAUUGACGCUCAGGCACGAAAGCGUGGGGAGCAAACAGG